rnacentral:rRNA from 1 species
GGCUCAGAUUGAACGCUGGCGGCAGGCCUAACACAUGCAAGUCGAGCGGUAGAGAGAAGCUUGCUUCUCUUGAGAGCGGCGGACGGGUGAGUAAUGCCUAGGAAUCUGCCUGGUAGUGGGGGAUAACGUUCGGAAACGGACGCUAAUACCGCAUACGUCCUACGGGAGAAAGCAGGGGACCUUCGGGCCUUGCGCUAUCAGAUGAGCCUAGGUCGGAUUAGCUAGUUGGUGGGGUAAUGGCUCACCAAGGCGACGAUCCGUAACUGGUCUGAGAGGAUGAUCAGUCACACUGGAACUGAGACACGGUCCAGACUCCUACGGGAGGCAGCAGUGGGGAAUAUUGGACAAUGGGCGAAAGCCUGAUCCAGCCAUGCCGCGUGUGUGAAGAAGGUCUUCGGAUUGUAAAGCACUUUAAGUUGGGAGGAAGGGUUGU